AGCUCCAAUAGCGUAUAUUAAAAUUGUUGCAGUUAAAAAGCUCGUAGUUUAUGCUUCCGAGUGCUACGCUGAUGAUCUAUCAGAAUCGGUGCUCGCGAGUUCCCCCUACUCUGUAGCGGGGUCGCACUUUGAAAAAAUUAGAGUGUUUCAGGCGAACUUAGUUUGAAUGCUCAAGCAUGGAAUGACAGAUAGACGUUGAUCUUUUGUUGGUUCGAGAAUCGAUGUAAUGGUUAAUAGGAACAGACGAGGGGAUUCGUACUAAAUCGUCAGAGGUGAAAUUCUUGGAUUGAUUUAUGACGAACUCAUGCGAAAGCACUUCCCUAGAAUGUUUUCA
rnacentral:rRNA from 1 species